CUCUCGAUCCCAUCUAGAGUUCUAGACCUCCAGCCUACAUCCACCUCCUGCCACGCUCCGCCCUGUGUCACCGCGCCACGACGGAGAUCGGAUCUAUGGGAAUCCAUCACCUGUUCUGUGAGUGAGUGGACGGGGACGCGAGGCGGCGGCAAUGCUGGUGCUUCUCCAGCAAGGCGCCGGACUCUGGUGAGGCAAGAAACAGGAGGAGACAGCGGAGAUCGGACCCGUGGGAAUCCACCGCCUGUUCCGGGAGUGGGUAGAUGGGUGAUGUCGGGCGGCGGUGGUGCCGGUGCAACGUUUGCAUGGUCAGGUGCACUUGGCUUCAGGCCCUGGGAGGCGCUAUCAAAUCCACGGCCGCGCUGCUGUGUUGACCAGGACGGCCUGCUCGUGCAGUGCGUCGUGGCUGGCUACUAAAGCCAGGCAGCAGUGAGACGUAGGCCGACGGUGAAGCCGGCGGGGUGCUUUAGAUGGGAUGCGCUUGGAUGGGCGGACCAGGGGUCACCUUCUAUCUUCGUCAGAACCAGAAGUCGAGAUGCAAGUGCGCAAUUAAACACGGGACCUUUAUGUGGUGUGAACAAGAUGAACAACAUCAGAGAAUGGAGCGGGAAUCAGAAUUGAAUUGAAAACAGAGUUAGCAGCUCAGAACAGCGACAUGAACUGCUCAAUUUUUCCUAUUAUAUUAGCCCAAGGACGGAGUAUCUUUAUCCUGCUCUCACCAGUGGGAUACGAAAGGCACUCUUCCAUCCAAUUCCCCGACCUGGUCAACCCAAGUAGAUUGCAAAUGGUGUUUGAUUGUAGAGCAGCAUCAUUGAAUUAAAUGUAUUCAUUAGUUAUAAAUGUUAUUACUAAUAUUAUAGAGUUGGAAUGUUAUUAAGAGGAUUUUCGUUUUUGAAAGAUCUUGAUUGGUGCUUUAA